AGCGAACGCUGGCGGCAGGCUUAACACAUGCAAGUCGAGCGGGCAUCCUUGUGGUGUCAGCGGCAGACGGGUGAGUAACGCGUGGGAACGUGCCCUUCGGUUCGGAAUAACUCAGGGAAACUUGAGCUAAUACCGGAUACGUGCGAGAGCAGAAAGGUUUAUCUGCCGAAGGAUCGGCCCGCGUCUGAUUAGCUAGUUGGUGAGGUUACGGCUCACCAAGGCGACGAUCAGUAGCUGGUCUGAGAGGAUGAUCAGCCACACUGGGACUGAGACACGGCCCAGACUCCUACGGGAGGCAGCAGUGGGGAAUAUUGGACAAUGGGGGCAACCCUGAUCCAGCCAUGCCGCGUGAGUGAUGACGGCCUUAGGGUUGUAAAGCUCUUUUCUCCGGGACGAUAACGACGGUACCGGAGGAAUAAGCCCCGGCUAACUUCGUG
rnacentral:rRNA from 1 species